rfam:Dipodomys ordii contig_2972, whole genome shotgun sequence.
GGGAAGGUAGCACAGUGGUAGAGCGCUUGCCUUGCAUGCAUGAGACCCUGGGUUCGAUUCCUCAGCACCCCA